GCAAACAUCAGGUUUAACAUCUCCUCUGCAGAGUCCAAUGGCGUUUACUUUGUCGGUGUUUUGGCCAUAAGAGAAAUUGUAGAAACCGUAGUUGAUUUGAGUGUUGGAAGUGAGAUUGGAUAAAAGGGUGUUGAGGUUGUUUUGAUAGGUGCUAUUGGCUGUGUAGUUGCCAUUAUUGUUUAUACAAGAGUAGCGCACAAAAUCUGGUUGGCCCUGGGCUUGAGAUACGAUAAUGAUAAUAAAAAGGAGAAAAGAGUAAAAGGAAAAUAAUAGCUUGCUAGAAACAAUUGUCAUUCUGAUAUAUUGAUCUCUGUCUUGGAACAAGAACAGGUUAUUAAGUAGUGGAUGAUUGAAGCUUUGGAUAUGAAAGUCGGUCAAUGAAUUAAUUUUCCGUGGUUGAAGUUAUUUGUUGACUAAAAUUUGUUGAAACAAAGCUUUUAGACUUUUAUCAUUCAGUUGUGAAAGAAAUGAAAUAUGCUAGUAACAUCUAAUUUUUAUAAUCAAAACACUUAUGACUAAUGGCUUGCAUUUUUCUUUCCCUUCUUUCUAUUUUUGAAUUAUUACUAUUACUGCAUCUAGGUUUUUUAUAUUUGAAAGCAACGCUUUGUUAAUCAUCACACAACUUAUUAUUAUGAAGAUUUUAUGUCGUCAAAACUAUAGCCUGCAUUCAUACCGCAUGUGUCAUCCUAGUUACUUAAUGAUAUGUCACAUGUGCGUCAGCGUUGUCACAAUUGAGGGAUGGACCACUUAUGCCAAAGGAGUAAACUUAAUGGUUAAAAUUGCAAGUAAGUGGUAUUGAAGAGAUCAUAAUAUUCGCUGCCAAUUGAAAAGCCAACAAAACCAUUACCCCAUUCUUCCUUCUUCCUCCCUUCAUAUUUCUUUUUCACGUCAUGGUGGGGUACUGUUUGGCCGCGUUGUCCAUAAAUUUUAAUGUUAGAAGUCAAUAACAUCAUGUUGUCAAGAAGAUGUACGAGGAAAACAACAGCAUCAAAAUUUGCUCUAGAUAGAGGAAUAAUACUAGUAAAGUUUAUGGUCAGUCAACUCAAGUCCAACACCUCACCUUUACAAAUUUGUGUCAUUUGGUCAAUUGUGUAUACCUCUGCAAAUAUAUCUUUGUAUAUUACAUGAGUGAAUUUAGGUUUAAUGUUACAAGCUAGAAUAGACUAACUAUUUUAUGAAUAUCUAUUUUAGCAAUUUACACAUUUUCUUUUCGAUAAAAAGACUCAUUUAAUUACAUUUUGUUUGAUAAUGACUUGUCCAAAAUUACAACUCUAUUUUUCAAUUUUGAUUUUUUUUAAAAGAGUAAAAUUAAGUUUUUUGUCCAAAAAAAGGUGUUGGUUGCUAAAAUACUCCUUUAUGAAAAAGUAUGGUUAUAUGUAUAAACAUACACAGGACUAUAUCCAAAUUCACAAUGAUCCACUAUAGCCCAGCUGCCCUGCCCUUUGCCCCACUUACAUUUGUAUAUAUGAGUCAUACUUAAUGGAACUCAACAUUCUAGCAUAUAAAAAAGGGAAAAUUGAUGUUCACACUUGUGUUCAAACAUUAAUGUAAUUUUAAUGAAAUGUCGGAUUGAUUCAAUUAUGGACAGCUAUAAAAGAUAAUGUAUUUUUGUUGUUUAUGACUGAGUAUAAAUGUUGUACGACUAAUAUUGUUUCUGGAAAUGCUCUGGUUGAAUUAUAGGUAAAAACUAGCCGAAAAAUGGCUUGGUUCAACUAUGCAGAACCCACUGUCUGCAUAAUUGCUUUCCUCAGCAGUUAACAGCAACAAGCGGCAAUUAACUGCCGAAGAAUAGUAAAACCAGCCUUUUGUCUUUUAAUGAUGUGUUUCAGCCUUAUCACAUGUGUGAACAACAAAUUUCUAAAAAAGGACCUUUUGCAUCCUCUAAAGUGGAGACAUAUGGUUUGAAUGAGGACUUAGGUACCUAAAGGGUGCAUGUAACCAUGUUGAAGUUACAACUCACGGAUACAUGUAUUUCACUACACAAUCCACAUAUACAAAUAUUUUACACAAUCAUCAAAUGUCACUUUAUUUAAUGAGUUUCAAAAUAAAUGCAUGACCCCACAUCACCCUUAUGAAUGAAAUCUAUCGAGGGUAUGGAUCAGUAAUUGAAGCAUGGUUUCUUGAUUCUCCCUCAAAUUGCAUGUCUCGAACUGGAAGGCUUCUACUUCUGCCUCCCACAAUAGAUGCAGGCUCCAAAGGUACAGCGAGAGUGAUAUAAUAACUACUAAGCAUGAGUACAACGGUUGCCAUGAUUGGUCUUUCAACCAAAUUUUCUUGAACACAUAGUAAAGCAAUGUGAAUGCAUCUCAUUAUUUCAUUUCGUGAACCAUUGCUUAAUGAUGGAUCUAUUAUAUUUGUGAUUGUACCCUCUCUCCAGUUUCUCCAUGCCUGCACAAUUGCAUAUACCUUUUAUAUCGCUAAUUACAAUUCAAUCUUAACAUGCUUAAUUUAAUGAAAUCAUCUUUUAAUGCAUACUUUUUUAUUGGCAUUGAAGAAAUAAUAAUGAGAGAACAGGACUUACAAAGCUAAGUAAAUCCUCCGAACGCUGUGCAUGAAAAACGUGACAUGCUUUCUGGCCACUUAUAAUCUCCAAAACUAGCACCCCAAAACUAAAAACGUCUGAUUUUAUCGAAAAUUCUCCAAACAUUACAUACUCGGGAGCCAUAUAUCCACUACAUAAAAAAGUGAAAAAGUUUAAUUAGUCAGAACUAAUUAGUCUUUCCGAGUCACAAGUAAUCAACUUGAAUUAGUUGUUAAGGCCAAUGAUACCUAUUAACAAAUUUGAUUUAUUUUUUAUUCAAAAAAACAAUUUUGAUUUUUCACCAAUUACCAUGAUGCAUGAUACCAUCUUUAAAAGAGCUUAAAUAUCAUAAAAACUAUUUUUGGAGUCAACAUCAAUGAAUUACAUACAAUACAAGAAAAAUUAAUGAUGAAAAAAAUUGUACUUAACAAGAUAUGGAAAUCAUAUCAUAAUACUUACUAUGUUCCAACGAUUUUAUUUGUAUUUACUUGAGUUUGAUCGACAAGAAGUAGUCUGGCGAUACCAAAAUCUGAUAUUUUAGGAUUCAAUUUUUCGUCUAAGAGAAUGUUACCCGCUUUAAGAUCACGAUGUAUAAUACGAAGUUGAGAAUCCUGAUGAAGGUAAAGAAGGCCUCUAGCAAUACCUCCAAUGAUUUUGUAGCGCCUUUCCCAGUCUAAUUGUGCUUUCUUUAUUGGAUCUAUACAUACACAAAAUUAGAUAUUUUAGUAGUCAUAUGCAUGAGAGCAACAAUCUAAUAAAGCAUAUAUUAUGGCCUACCAAAUAUAAAAUAAUCAAGACUUUUAUUAGGAACAAAUUCAUAGAAAAGCAAUCUUUCUCUUCCUUCUAGACAAAAACCAAGUAGUCAAACUAAAUUUCGAUGUUGAAGCUUAGCGACUAAAAGCACUUCAUUCUUAAAUUCAAUAUCCCCUUGUCCUGAAUUUGUUGACAACCUUUUGAUCGCAAUCACUUGUCCACCGGCGAGUAUACCCUGUAAAUAUAUUUCAUUUGUGUAUAAUAAGUACUUUAAUGAUGAAGAAUGUGAUGUUCAUCUAAAUCAAUAGUAUUAUAUAUAUACCUGAUAAACAAUUCCAAAUCCGCCAUGUCCAAGUUUAUUAGCUUCAGAAAAGUUACUUGUAGCAACUCGUAAUGUCUCGAAGUUGAAUAGCAAUGACUCAGCGAUUUCAAUAUCAUUAUUAUCAUCUUCUAUAUCUUCAAACAAUGUACAAGGCAUGUUAGAAAAAUAUGCUAAUAUCUAAUUUUUAAAAUCAAAAUACUUAUAACUAUUGGCUUCCAUUUUUCUUUGCCAUCUGUCUCUUUUGGAAUUACUGCUUCUAGGUUGUCUCUAUUUGAAUGCAAAACUCUGUUAACCAUCACAACUUAUUAUUAUGAAGUAAAUUUUAUGUCGUCAAAAUUAUCCUGCAUCCAUACCACGACUUAGACAGUCUAACAAAUUUAGGAAAGGUCACAUACCUUCGAGAUUUAUCUUUGCCUUCCUUUUCCUUACGCAUAUGCAAAUGAAAAUUAGCAGGGAAGCAACAACAACCACAACAGUCGGCACAACUAUGGCGAUGGUAGUAUGUGAUGAUUUGCUUUUUUCUGUAAAAUGAUACAUUUCAAAGAUUAAGAAUAGUAAAAUAAUACCAACAAACAAGGUCUAUAAUGACUAACUAAUGAGAAAAACUCCAAGAAAGGAACGAGUAAAACAAGACCACCUAAUUGUAAAUAUGUUGUAACGAGCAAUUAAGAUGAUUAAUUAACGACAAUUAGUAAUUACCUUCUUCUGAUGGGGAGGUUUCACCUGGGUCUAUUACAGGUGUAGGAUCAUAGAAGGAAUAGAUUUCAUGUCUAAUAUUGCAACUUGGUUUGAGAACUAUACCGCCAACCUUGUUAUUAAAAUAAAUAGGAAUUUCUGAAAUAGCACGCUCUAAACAAUCAUUGCAAUCUUGCUGUGAUAAAUCAGGUGUACACUGCACAAGACCAUAUGUGGUUUCAAAAUUCAAAGUUGCAUUAGCGGUAGCAAACUUACGACGAGAAUCACUUGAUGCUGCUAUUUCUUUGAGUUUCCUCAUCAAGUUCCCAAGAACUUGAUUAAAUUGAUCCACCUCGGUUGCAUUUUUCAAGGUCCACUUUAAAUAUGAAGGUGAAGCUUCCAUAACGCCGAAUAUUGAUCGGUUUGAGUAACGCAACAUGCAGUCAACAUACCAACCAAUCGCUUCUUUUUGGUUUGGACAAAGUUUUGUGAGAAGAACUCUUGAAUCAUUGAGACAACUUCGGCAAACGUCAGGUUUAACAUCUCCUCUGCAGAGGCCAACGGCGUUUACUUUGUCAGUGUUUUGGCCAUAAGAGAAAUUGUAGAAACCGUAGUUGAUUUCUGUGUUGGAAGUUAGAUUGGACAAAAGGGUGCUGAGGUUGUUUUGAUAGGUGCUAUUGGCUGUGUAGUUGCCAUUAUUGUUUAUACAAUAGUUGCGCAAAAAAUUUGGUUGGCCUUGGGCUUGAGAUACGAUAAUGAUAAUAAAAAGAACAGAAUAAAAGGAAAAUAAUAGCUUGCUAGAAACAGUUGUCAUUCGUGUAUAUUGAUCUCUGUCUUGGAACAAGAACAGGUAAUUAAGAAAUGGAGGAUUGAAGCUUUGGAUAUGAAAGUCAAUCAGUUAAUUUGAACUGGGUGAAAUGAUUUGUUGAGUAAAAUAUGUGGUUUGAGACAAAGCUUCGAGUCUUUUAUGAUUUUAUGUGAAAGGUCGUUUGAGUAAUGUUUCAAAAGUGAGACUUUUGGGUCAAGAUUUAGUAGUAGCUUUUAUUAUGGGCUCCAUAUGCAUUGCAUGAAAACAAACAAGUACAAGAUGGAAAAUGCUCGGAAGUUUUUCAAUUUGAAGACUUGUAUAGUUACAAGACCAAAUGAAAAUGAAAGGUGUAGACACUCACAAAAUAAGAAAACAUUAACAUAAAGUAAAAACAAUUAUUAUAGCUAAAAGGCACCCCCUAAUGUGUCUCUAAUAGGGAACUUCUAAGAAACAUAUGUAAAUUAAGGUGUACUGGUACUCUUAUUUUAAAAAUCUAUAAAUUAAUUAUCAUCUUUAUGAAAUAAAGAGCUAUUUGUUUUAUUUUUUACAAGUAUAAAGAGCUAUUUAUUGAUAUUUAUAUUUUAAAAAAUAUCAUUUCAUAAGGAAAAACAUCAUUUCAUUAUUUUUAAAAAUCAUACUAAUUGUUUACAUUUUAUUGUAAAAAAUAAUCAAAAUUCUCUUUUUUUGGUGGUGGCCGGGAUUCGAACUCCGAACCUUGCAUAUAUUAUGCAUUAUCCUUACCAACUGAGUUAAGCUCACGUGGACAAUCUAAAUUCUCUAUUAUGAGUACUAAAAAUUCAGAAAAAAUAAAUUUUAUUUCGUCGAUGUUUUUGGUAAGUAAGAUUUAAUUAUUACAAUUAUAGGUGAUAGAAAAUAAAUUUUCUCUUCAAAAAAUAACACAUUACCUAUUAAUUUAAUGAUUUGAUGUACCAAUACACUUAAAUUUUUGAAUGUAUUGUAGAAUUUGCCUAACUUUAUGUUUAAUUAAUAUGUAGGUUCCUCAACUAUUUGAAAUCUUUUAUAUAGGUCCCUAAAUUAAUUAUUUUCUAAUUAGAUACUUGAACUAUUUUUUUUAAUCAAGACCUUCUGUUAGUUGACCGAUAGUCAACUGUUGACAUGGACUAUUACAUGACAGUCUUUUUACACAUCACUAACCACCUAAUAUCCAUAUUUAUUUAUAACUUUUUUUUCCACAUAAUAAUUAGUAUAUUUUAUUUCUAAGGCCAUAACUUUUCUAACUUCUUGAAGUUCGGGUUGGUAGGGACAAAGCAUAAAUAUGCAAGGUUGGAAUUUAAAUCUCGUCUACCACAAAAAAAAAAAAAAAAAAAGACAAAACGAAACGAAACCUUCAAUCUUAUCUGAAUUCCAACAAAAUGCACCUUAGACGAAUAAUUGAGUUAUUUUAUUUUUGAUAUUCUUUGGUGGAUGAGUCAGUGAAACGGAUACAUUUGUUAUUGAUUAUUUGUUUUGAUUCUUUCCUGGUCAAUUUGGGCGUCUUGCCUUUUUGGGGUUUUGCUGUUGUUGUAGCCUCCUGUAGUACCUAUGAUGAUGUUGUUUAUUUUUUUAUUAUGGCUACUUUGUUUCCUGUAGUUUAGAGGCAGCCGUUGUUUUUGUUGAGGGGGAUUUAUUUUAUGUUUUGAUACUGUUAAUUUAUUUCACAUUUGUUAAUAUAUUUUACAUUUGCUAAUAUUUUGAUGGGUCAUGUUAACCAAUGUCUCCGGAUCACUGGUUAAGAAAGUCAGAAAAAGAAAUUAUAAAUUAAAAAAGAUAUUUUUUAAACUUUUAAUGCAUUGAUUAUACAACUUUUAAUGUAAAUAUUACUUUUUAUGUGAAACUGAUUAAGAUUUCUCUUCCUAAAAAUAUAAUAACAAUUGGUUAACAUUUAGCGACCGUCAGUUAACCUCUUCCAAUAAGAUCUCUGAACUAUCAUUGAUGUUAUUCUUUUUAUUGUUAAUAUGAGUUUAUUCUUAUUGUUGUUGAUAUUUUGAGCUUGUUGUUCUUGUUAUUAUUUAUAUCACGGAGACGGAUGACCCUAAAUUUCAAGUAGAACUCCACCAUGGAGGACAAUUUUUUAAGGGGAAGUUUGGUAAUGAAUAUAUAGGAGGUAGAACAAUGGAAGGGCUUGAAUAUGAUUCGGAUCACUAGAAAUUAUUGUUGUAUUGAAGAAGUUAGAAUACAAUGGUUAAUCCAAGAGUAGUAGCUCCUUAAGGAUGUGGACACAUCGAAAUAAAUUUGUGUAGCAAAUAACCAUUUGAAAGUUAAUCCUUAGCAAAUAGAAGUCAUCGAUGAAUGAUAUGAAGCUCGACAAGGUGGACGUUACUUGCACUUACAAUGUAACCUGAUAAAUUUGAGAUCCAAGACUCAAGUAAGCUUCCAAUUAUAGUUUUAAUAGGGUUGCUUAAACAAUUGUCAUCAACAUUAAUCCAUUUGGGUUGAUCUGGUGGUAUUGACUUGAGAUAUAGGAGUGUGCUCCUCCUCAAAGUCUCAGGUUUUGAUUCUCCCUGUGCAAUUUGGAUGAAUUAAUUUAGCUUCUUUAAAAAAAUUGUCAUCAAAAUUAUUAAUGAUGCAAUUGUGAUGAGAAGAAUUUGAUUAAACCUAUUUGUCCAUAAGACUUGUAUUCGGUGAACUAGAAAAGCAAGUCAUGUUAUGAAUAACACACAUGUUGUUAGCUUCCAUUGUAAGAUGAUAAGACGAGAUCGCAGUAUUAGAAACACAACUAAAGUUGUGGUUUUCCAAGACUUCCACACCUCAUCAACGAAGAUGUUGGCAUUAUGUGAAGUGAGCCCUUGCCUGAACCUAACUUUCGAAAGGAUCAAACUCAGAUAAAAAAGAUAAGUCCAUGGUGGGGUAUUGCAGGUGGGGUAUUGAAGAGAUCAUAGUAUUCGCUGCCAAUUGAAAAGCCAACAAAACCAUUACCCCAUUCUUCCUUCUUCCUCCCUUCAUAUUUCUUUUUGACGUCAUGGUGGGGUACUGUUUGGCCGCGUUGUCCAUAAAUUUUAGAGAAAUGAUAUUUAAACAUUUAUUUUUUGACAACUUUUGUGACAACUUUCUGUCUCAUAUUCACAUUAUUUUUUACUUUAUCUCUCUAUUGCUUUGAUUUUCGUGUCAAUACUUACUUUUUCUUUGUAAAUUAUGGUUGUCCCAUAAGUUGUCCACUAAAUGGUUGUUUAAAUAACACUCCUCCAUAAUUUAACGUUAGAAGUCAAUAACAUCAUGUUGUCAAGAAGAUGUACGAGGAAAAGAACAGCAUCAAAAUUUGCUCUAGAUAGAGGAAUAAUACUAGUAAAAGUUUAUGGUCAGUCAACUCAAGUCCAACACCUUACCUUUACAAAUUUGUGUCAUUUGGUCAAUUGUGUAUACCUCUGCAAAUAUAUAUUCGAAUAUUAUAUGAGUGAAUUAAGGUUUAGUGUUACACGUCACACAAACAUUGCUAAAAUAGACUAACUAUUUUAUGAAGGUUUAUUUUAGCAAUUUACACAUUUUCUUUUGGAUAAAAAGACCCAUUUAAUUACAUUUUGUUUGAUAAUGCCUUGUCGAAAAUUACAACUUUAUCUUUCAAUUUUGAUUUUUUUCUUUUCAAAAAGCAAAAUUUGGUAUUCUGUCCAAGUGAAAAGCCGUUGGUUGCUAAAAUACUCAUUCAUAAAAAUGUGUGGUUAUUUAUAUAAACACAUACGUUACUAUGUCGAGAUUCACAAUAGUCCAGCUACCCUGCCUUUCCCCCUCUUACGUGUCUAUAUAUGAGUCCUACUCCAUGGAACUCAACAUUCUAACAUAUAAAAAAGGACUUUUAGCAUCUCUAAAGUAGAUUCACUAUAUCCUACCAUUCACUCUUGCUAAUAUACUAAUUUAAUGUCAGAUUGCUUGCAUAUAUAUGCAAAAUAUAACAUAUAAUAUAUAAUAUAUUAAAAAGUAACAUUAUAGAAUGACAGCUUUAAAAAAAGUUAUAAAUAAUGAAUGAUUUUUCAAACAUAUAAAUUAGUAAAAUAUUUUGUUAUUUAUUGAUUUAUUAUAACUAAAGUGGAGACAUCUUAAUAUAUAAUACAAAGGUUCACAAUGCAUGCUUCAUUUGCCUAAAACCUAAUUCCCUAACCCUAAUUUAUUUAAUUCUGAUCUUUGAGUUCCAAAUGUAACUGCACUGGAUGAUUAUGAUUGAAAUGCACACAGCCACAGGCUUUUGGUUUUCUCCAUUCUGCAAUGAAUUCUUUGCCGUUACAAUUUUGCUCUCCUUUAUAAACAACAUAUCAGGAUUUGUCAUUCCACCAUCUCCAAACCCUCCUGCGCCGCAGACAUGGCUUUCCACCAUAACAAUGUGGCGAUGCUCUCUUACAGCAUGUUGAUUGGUAUGUAUGCACAAGUUUUUCUUAAAAAUUCCCUUAUUUUUGCGGUUUGAAGCAUGAUAUUUGGUGUGUCAUUUUUUUGCAGCACCACUUGAUCCCAAUCCAGUGACUGAAAUGGAUAGGAGGAUCAACGAGCUACGCCUUAAGUAUAGGACAUACAUGGUUGAAGUUGACGUUGACUAUGUGUGUGGUUUUGUAUGGUCUGUUUUCCUUCCAUCUGUUAUUCUUUUUUAAAACCCUAACAACGUUUUUUGUUUCCACAGGGUGCUAUUAUGUUGCCCAUGAUGUUUUCCCAUGAUUUUGGAGACCAGAUCCAACAAUAUGCUACUCUGGUGGAUCCAAAACGCAAUCAGUUUGAAGUGCUGGUUGAAAGGAAUAACCAGGGGAUUUAUUUAACAAAGGGCUGGCACGCUAUCCGUGAUUUCUACAAAGUGCAGUUUGGUUCCUGGGUUACAGUUGUGUUUAUGGGAGAUGGAAGGUUUGAUAUUAGAAUGAAGAACAAGUUUGGUAAAAGAAUUCGUUACCCAACUUUUAACCCACCAAUGAAUUUUAGGGUUGAGCACAGUGCUGUUCCAGUCACCGUUGACUGGUUUGUUCCAAGGCCAUUCAUGCAUGACGGGAUGAACUUUCAGUUCACUUACGAGAAAAAGCUUGCUGUUGCUGAUGUUGAAAGUGGAUUUUUGGUACACGUUAAGCAUCAUCGUGUUAAACAAUUACACAUAUUUUUCGUAUAUUUUUGAAUAAGGCUGAAACAUUUUUUAUGUUUUUUUAGGAACUUGCUGAAGUUGGUUUUGCUCAAAUGGCUUUGGAUAGAGAAACUUCGAUAGUAGAUAUGGUGGACGAAAAUGGCAACAUAUGGAACUGCACCCUCAGUUUUUCAAUGAAUCCUGCUCCAAACUUCAAGAUUGGAGGAGGUUGGGAGCUUAUGGUCAAGGCUAGAAAGUUCGCGGAGGGUGUACGUGUGGUGGUUGGUGCUCCUGCGGUUGGCAUGAAUUUAACCCUCUACUUCUGUGUGAUUCGUCGUUGAGUUUAGGUUACCAGUUUGAUCUAAGACAUUUUGUACUAAGCUUUGAUGUAAUUUUCCAUUGUGGUGUUUCUGUCCUUUCCGUUUUCUGUUUUUCAUGAAUAACACAAUGCAAUCCUUUGAGUAUUUUGCAUUUCACAGAGAAUUUUUGUUAUGUUCUUUUCUGUUUUCUUUGUGCCAAUCAAGAUAUAUAUUAAUGUAAUUGUUAAUUUCUGCAUAAUUUGGAGCGAGAUCGAGGUGAUUUUCUGCAUCAUUUAGAGCUGGUUUAUAUGUUACAUUCAAGAUGAAUUACAAAUCGCAUUUCAGGUUUGUGAAGUCGAACAUUGGAAGAACGACUCAUUUGAACAAUAUCAAUUAUAUUAAAGGCACAAGCACAAAUGAUAUUAUGAUUGGUGUUGGAAUCCAAGGGAGUGUUUGAGGCCAAGGUGUUGAUGUGCCUUGCGGGGUAGGAAUGUCUUGGCAACAGUUUCUUGGUCUGUUUUGGUGCUGACUUUUUUGCGGUUGUGCACUUUUAGGCUUGCUGAUUUUUAGUUUACUGAUUUUUUAGCAGUUGUGCUGCAUUUCUGUUUAGUAGCAGCAGCUGCUUUUUUGGUGCCUUUUGCUGUCACUAGCACUUCCCUUUUGGUGUAUUUCUUUUUGCCAAACUUUGAGUUUGAUAUUGAUAUUGAUAUUGGAUUGUUGUACUGAGAAAGUGGGGUGGACUUCUUUAUGUGUUCUUACUUAAUGCCUCUCAAGAUCCUUGAGUUUGACAAUGAGAACUAUUUAUUUGGUUAUAUUUGGUGUUUGGUUAUGUCACGACACAUUUGAAACUUCAUUGUUUUUCUUUGUUAUAGUAUAGUAUGUAUUCUUAUAUGAAAUGUGAGGAAAGAUAGGGGUAAAAAAGGAAUUGCAGAAAAAAAGAUUUAAUCAAAAUGAAAACUAUAACUAAGAAAAAUUGGGAAAAGAGGGGUUCGGGAAACAACAACCAGGUAGCAGUGAAGCGGUUGAAUUUCACCUGACAUUCAACAACAACAGCAUCAUAGCAUAACAAUCAUUCCCUUCUUUCUUUUUCGAAAGUUUCAAUUGAAUUUCUCAAAUUAAUUCGUGUUGUUCACAUCACGCAAAUAAUUGAUUGAUCAUCAUCUCAUACAAGAAUGGCGGAAGGGAGUAAUACUCCUGUUCUUCUUCCUGAUUUGUUGAAAAACACGCCUUCCAAUAUAGCUAGAUUGGAAGAUGUUGUUCGUUGGUAUUUUUGUAAGACCUCUUUAGCCCCUAAUGGUAUGUACUAUGUCUUAUCAUCAAUUUGUAGUUUUUGUUGUGUUAAUUUAAUUUUAUAUUACUUUACUACUUUAUUAGUAUGUAUCCCUUUUGAUUGAUUAAUAUGUUUUGUUCUGCUUUGAAAAUGAUUGAUUUUGAUUUUGAAUGAAUUGAUUCUGACUAAAAGUGAGUUGCGGGUGGAUUGAUUUGUGUUUAGAUUCAUUCAUCUAGAAGUAAUAAUCAAUUAUAGAAUCAAAGGCUACAAAUAGUAGAAUUGAUUUUAGUCCCCAAACUUGAUUUCUAAGAAAAGAUCAAAAUCGGGUUAUUAGCAUUUAGAUUUCAGAUUUUUGUUGAAAACAAAUGUUUAAUUGUUCGGUGUAGUUUUGGGCAGGGAGUACUAGGAUUAUAGAAGUUCUUUUAUGUAAUUAGCAGCAAAACAGGGCAUGAGAUGUGUUGGGUUUAUCUCCAACUAUUAUGGCCAUGGGGCUCUGCCAUUAUUUCUUAAGCAUGAAAUUGUGACUAUGAAAGGUUCAACAUUUUCUUUUGAUUUGUAUUGGUUGAUACGUGAAUUAGUUUUUGCCAAUUAAUCAUAUUUAAUAUUGGCUACUCUAAUUAUUUGGAAUUGAUAAAGAUCAUUUUCUCAUGAUUGAUUCAAAAGAUAUCAAUGGACUUGGCAGUUAUUUUGAUGGAAUAUCAAUUGCUAUAACUACUGUUAAUUCUAAUUAUUGAGACUUUUCACUCCCAACACUAAAAAAAAAAAACUGAUAUUGCAAAUGACUGUUUGGUUGGGUAGUGGGAUUUUAAUGAGAUAUCCACAUUUGUGUAGGUUGGAAUUGAUAAAGAUCAUUUUCUCAUGAUUGAUUCAAAGGAUAUCAAUGGACUUGGCAGUUAUUUUGAUGGAAUAUCAAUUGCUAUAACUACUGUUAAUUCUAAUUAUUGAGACUUUUCACUCCCAACACUAAAAAAAAAAAACUGAUAUUGCAAAUGACUGUUUGGUUGGGUAGUGGGAUUUUAAUGAGAUANGUUUUGGCUAGAACAGUCACCUUUGUUGGUGUAUACCCGAUUGACAUAGGUGAAGCUUUAGGCCUUUACCAUGCGAUUCAAUGGGCGAGUGAUAUGCACUUAGAUAAUUUUGAUUUUGAAGUCGACUCCAAAACCACAAAAGACGCUCUUUACUCGAGUCGGGAAGACAUAACUGAAUUUGGCAACAUCAUCACAUAUUCCCGGUCUUUGCUCUCGUCCAAGUUUACCAACUCUCGAGUGGAGUUUGUUUGGCGACAAGCUAUUAUAAUGUGGUGUCUCACACUCUCGCAGGGAAAGCCACAUUUCUCGCUAGUCCCACUAUUUAUUUUCAUAUACCCAAUUGUAUUGAAACUUUGAUUACUAAUGAAAUGCUAUAAACACUUUUCUCUAAAAAAAAAAGUUAUUUAAUCAUAACAAAUUAAUCCUUUAAGUAUUGUUUGUAACACUUAGGUGCUUUAAGUUAUUUAAUUGUAACUUUUAGAUCCCGAAUAACUUGCAUUUUUAAGAUAUGAAAUUCCUCAAAUUGUUAAGGUAAAAUAACACAAAGGACCUUGUUGGUACAAGAAAAACUUAAAGGACCAUCUUGUUCGAGCUAAUUAACUUAAAUGACCUAAGUGAUAUGAAAAAAACUUAAAUACCAAUUUAUUACAAUAAAAUAACUUAAUGAUCUCUAAUAUAAUUUAACCCUAUAAUUAUUAUUGCAAGUUUUCUAUGACUGAUUAUUAUUGUAAGUGUUCGCCAACAAAACCACUUCAAACGAAUAAUUGAGUUAUUUUAUUUUUGAUAUUCUUUGGUGGAUGAGUCAGUGAAACGGAUACAUUUGUUAUUGAUUAUUUGUUUUGAUUCUUUCCUGGUCAAUUUGGGCGUCUUGCCUUUUUGGGGUUUUGCUGUUGUUGUAGCCUCCUGUAGUACCUAUGAUGAUGUUGUUUAUUUUUUUAUUAUGGCUACUUUGUUUCCUGUAGUUUAGAGGCAGCCGUUGUUUUUGUUGAGGGGGAUUUAUUUUAUGUUUUGAUACUGUUAAUUUAUUUCACAUUUGUUAAUAUAUUUUACAUUUGCUAAUAUUUUGAUGGGUCAUGUUAACCAAUGUCUCCGGAUCACUGGUUAAGAAAGUCAGAAAAAGAAAUUAUAAAUUAAAAAAGAUAUUUUUUAAACUUUUAAUGCAUUGAUUAUACAACUUUUAAUGUAAAUAUUACUUUUUAUGUGAAACUGAUUAAGAUUUCUCUUCCUAAAAAUAUAAUAACAAUUGGUUAACAUUUAGCGACCGUCAGUUAACCUCUUCCAAUAAGAUCUCUGAACUAUCAUUGAUGUUAUUCUUUUUAUUGUUAAUAUGAGUUUAUUCUUAUUGUUGUUGAUAUUUUGAGCUUGUUGUUCUUGUUAUUAUUUAUAUCACGGAGACGGAUGACCCUAAAUUUCAAGUAGAACUCCACCAUGGAGGACAAUUUUUUAAGGGGAAGUUUGGUAAUGAAUAUAUAGGAGGUAGAACAAUGGAAGGGCUUGAAUAUGAUUCGGAUCACUAGAAAUUAUUGUUGUAUUGAAGAAGUUAGAAUACAAUGGUUAAUCCAAGAGUAGUAGCUCCUUAAGGAUGUGGACACAUCGAAAUAAAUUUGUGUAGCAAAUAACCAUUUGAAAGUUAAUCCUUAGCAAAUAGAAGUCAUCGAUGAAUGAUAUGAAGCUCGACAAGGUGGACGUUACUUGCACUUACAAUGUAACCUGAUAAAUUUGAGAUCCAAGACUCAAGUAAGCUUCCAAUUAUAGUUUUAAUAGGGUUGCUUAAACAAUUGUCAUCAACAUUAAUCCAUUUGGGUUGAUCUGGUGGUAUUGACUUGAGAUAUAGGAGUGUGCUCCUCCUCAAAGUCUCAGGUUUUGAUUCUCCCUGUGCAAUUUGGAUGAAUUAAUUUAGCUUCUUUAAAAAAAUUGUCAUCAAAAUUAUUAAUGAUGCAAUUGUGAUGAGAAGAAUUUGAUUAAACCUAUUUGUCCAUAAGACUUGUAUUCGGUGAACUAGAAAAGCAAGUCAUGUUAUGAAUAACACACAUGUUGUUAGCUUCCAUUGUAAGAUGAUAAGACGAGAUCGCAGUAUUAGAAACACAACUAAAGUUGUGGUUUUCCAAGACUUCCACACCUCAUCAACGAAGAUGUUGGCAUUAUGUGAAGUGAGCCCUUGCCUGAACCUAACUUUCGAAAGGAUCAAACUCAGAUAAAAAAGAUAAGUCCAUGGUGGGGUAUUGCAGGUGGGGUAUUGAAGAGAUCAUAGUAUUCGCUGCCAAUUGAAAAGCCAACAAAACCAUUACCCCAUUCUUCCUUCUUCCUCCCUUCAUAUUUCUUUUUGACGUCAUGGUGGGGUACUGUUUGGCCGCGUUGUCCAUAAAUUUUAGAGAAAUGAUAUUUAAACAUUUAUUUUUUGACAACUUUUGUGACAACUUUCUGUCUCAUAUUCACAUUAUUUUUUACUUUAUCUCUCUAUUGCUUUGAUUUUCGUGUCAAUACUUACUUUUUCUUUGUAAAUUAUGGUUGUCCCAUAAGUUGUCCACUAAAUGGUUGUUUAAAUAACACUCCUCCAUAAUUUAACGUUAGAAGUCAAUAACAUCAUGUUGUCAAGAAGAUGUACGAGGAAAAGAACAGCAUCAAAAUUUGCUCUAGAUAGAGGAAUAAUACUAGUAAAAGUUUAUGGUCAGUCAACUCAAGUCCAACACCUUACCUUUACAAAUUUGUGUCAUUUGGUCAAUUGUGUAUACCUCUGCAAAUAUAUAUUCGAAUAUUAUAUGAGUGAAUUAAGGUUUAGUGUUACACGUCACACAAACAUUGCUAAAAUAGACUAACUAUUUUAUGAAGGUUUAUUUUAGCAAUUUACACAUUUUCUUUUGGAUAAAAAGACCCAUUUAAUUACAUUUUGUUUGAUAAUGCCUUGUCGAAAAUUACAACUUUAUCUUUCAAUUUUGAUUUUUUUCUUUUCAAAAAGCAAAAUUUGGUAUUCUGUCCAAGUGAAAAGCCGUUGGUUGCUAAAAUACUCAUUCAUAAAAAUGUGUGGUUAUUUAUAUAAACACAUACGUUACUAUGUCGAGAUUCACAAUAGUCCAGCUACCCUGCCUUUCCCCCUCUUACGUGUCUAUAUAUGAGUCCUACUCCAUGGAACUCAACAUUCUAACAUAUAAAAAAGGACUUUUAGCAUCUCUAAAGUAGAUUCACUAUAUCCUACCAUUCACUCUUGCUAAUAUACUAAUUUAAUGUCAGAUUGCUUGCAUAUAUAUGCAAAAUAUAACAUAUAAUAUAUAAUAUAUUAAAAAGUAACAUUAUAGAAUGACAGCUUUAAAAAAAGUUAUAAAUAAUGAAUGAUUUUUCAAACAUAUAAAUUAGUAAAAUAUUUUGUUAUUUAUUGAUUUAUUAUAACUAAAGUGGAGACAUCUUAAUAUAUAAUACAAAGGUUCACAAUGCAUGCUUCAUUUGCCUAAAACCUAAUUCCCUAACCCUAAUUUAUUUAAUUCUGAUCUUUGAGUUCCAAAUGUAACUGCACUGGAUGAUUAUGAUUGAAAUGCACACAGCCACAGGCUUUUGGUUUUCUCCAUUCUGCAAUGAAUUCUUUGCCGUUACAAUUUUGCUCUCCUUUAUAAACAACAUAUCAGGAUUUGUCAUUCCACCAUCUCCAAACCCUCCUGCGCCGCAGACAUGGCUUUCCACCAUAACAAUGUGGCGAUGCUCUCUUACAGCAUGUUGAUUGGUAUGUAUGCACAAGUUUUUCUUAAAAAUUCCCUUAUUUUUGCGGUUUGAAGCAUGAUAUUUGGUGUGUCAUUUUUUUGCAGCACCACUUGAUCCCAAUCCAGUGACAGAAAUGGAUAGGAGGAUCAACGAGCUACGCCUUAAGUAUAGGACAUACAUGGUUGAAGUUGACGUUGACUAUGUGUGUGGUUUUGUAUGGUCUGUUUUCCUUCCAUCUGUUAUUCUUUUUUAAAACCCUAACAACGUUUUUUGUUUCCACAGGGUGCUAUUAUGAUGCCAAUGAUGUUUUCCCAUGAUUUUGGAGACCAGAUCCAACAAUAUGCUACUCUGGUAGAUCCAAAACGCAAUCAGUUUGAAGUGCUGGUUGAAAGGAAUAACCAGGGGAUUUAUUUAACAAAGGGCUGGCACGCUAUCCGUGAUUUCUACAAAGUGCAGUUUGGUUCCUGGGUUACAGUUGUGUUUAUGGGAGAUGGAAGGUUUGAUAUUAGAAUGAAGAACAAGUUUGGUAAAAGAAUUCGUUACCCAACUUUUAACCCACCAAUGAAUUUUAGGGUUGAGCACAGUGCUGUUCCAGUCACCGUUGACUGGUUUGUUCCAAGGCCAUUCAUGCAUGACGGGAUGAACUUUCAGUUCACUUACGAGAAAAAGCUUGCUGUUGCUGAUGUUGAAAGUGGAUUUUUGGUACACGUUAAGCAUCAUCGUGUUAAACAAUUACACAUAUUUUUCGUAUAUUUUUGAAUAAGGCUGAAACAUUUUUUAUGUUUUUUUAGGAACUUGCUGAAGUUGGUUUUGCUCAAAUGGCUUUGGAUAGAGAAACUUCGAUAGUAGAUAUGGUGGACGAAAAUGGCAACAUAUGGAACUGCACCCUCAGUUUUUCAAUGAAUCCUGCUCCAAACUUCAAGAUUGGAGGAGGUUGGGAGCUUAUGGUCAAGGCUAGAAAGUUCGCGGAGGGUGUACGUGUGGUGGUUGGUGCUCCUGCGGUUGGCAUGAAUUUAACCCUCUACUUCUGUGUGAUUCGUCGUUGAGUUUAGGUUACCAGUUUGAUCUAAGACAUUUUGUACUAAGCUUUGAUGUAAUUUUCCAUUGUGGUGUUUCUGUCCUUUCCGUUUUCUGUUUUUCAUGAAUAACACAAUGCAAUCCUUUGAGUAUUUUGCAUUUCACAGAGAAUUUUUGUUAUGUUCUUUUCUGUUUUCUUUGUGCCAAUCAAGAUAUAUAUUAAUGUAAUUGUUAAUUUCUGCAUAAUUUGGAGCGAGAUCGAGGUGAUUUUCUGCAUCAUUUAGAGCUGGUUUAUAUGUUACAUUCAAGAUGAAUUACAAAUCGCAUUUCAGGUUUGUGAAGUCGAACAUUGGAAGAACGACUCAUUUGAACAAUAUCAAUUAUAUUAAAGGCACAAGCACAAAUGAUAUUAUGAUUGGUGUUGGAAUCCAAGGGAGUGUUUGAGGCCAAGGUGUUGAUGUGCCUUGCGGGGUAGGAAUGUCUUGGCAACAGUUUCUUGGUCUGUUUUGGUGCUGACUUUUUUGCGGUUGUGCACUUUUAGGCUUGCUGAUUUUUAGUUUACUGAUUUUUUAGCAGUUGUGCUGCAUUUCUGUUUAGUAGCAGCAGCUGCUUUUUUGGUGCCUUUUGCUGUCACUAGCACUUCCCUUUUGGUGUAUUUCUUUUUGCCAAACUUUGAGUUUGAUAUUGAUAUUGAUAUUGGAUUGUUGUACUGAGAAAGUGGGGUGGACUUCUUUAUGUGUUCUUACUUAAUGCCUCUCAAGAUCCUUGAGUUUGACAAUGAGAACUAUUUAUUUGGUUAUAUUUGGUGUUUGGUUAUGUCACGACACAUUUGAAACUUCAUUGUUUUUCUUUGUUAUAGUAUAGUAUGUAUUCUUAUAUGAAAUGUGAGGAAAGAUAGGGGUAAAAAAGGAAUUGCAGAAAAAAAGAUUUAAUCAAAAUGAAAACUAUAACUAAGAAAAAUUGGGAAAAGAGGGGUUCGGGAAACAACAACCAGGUAGCAGUGAAGCGGUUGAAUUUCACCUGACAUUCAACAACAACAGCAUCAUAGCAUAACAAUCAUUCCCUUCUUUCUUUUUCGAAAGUUUCAAUUGAAUUUCUCAAAUUAAUUCGUGUUGUUCACAUCACGCAAAUAAUUGAUUGAUCAUCAUCUCAUACAAGAAUGGCGGAAGGGAGUAAUACUCCUGUUCUUCUUCCUGAUUUGUUGAAAAACACGCCUUCCAAUAUAGCUAGAUUGGAAGAUGUUGUUCGUUGGUAUUUUUGUAAGACCUCUUUAGCCCCUAAUGGUAUGUACUAUGUCUUAUCAUCAAUUUGUAGUUUUUGUUGUGUUAAUUUAAUUUUAUAUUACUUUACUACUUUAUUAGUAUGUAUCCCUUUUGAUUGAUUAAUAUGUUUUGUUCUGCUUUGAAAAUGAUUGAUUUUGAUUUUGAAUGAAUUGAUUCUGACUAAAAGUGAGUUGCGGGUGGAUUGAUUUGUGUUUAGAUUCAUUCAUCUAGAAGUAAUAAUCAAUUAUAGAAUCAAAGGCUACAAAUAGUAGAAUUGAUUUUAGUCCCCAAACUUGAUUUCUAAGAAAAGAUCAAAAUCGGGUUAUUAGCAUUUAGAUUUCAGAUUUUUGUUGAAAACAAAUGUUUAAUUGUUCGGUGUAGUUUUGGGCAGGGAGUACUAGGAUUAUAGAAGUUCUUUUAUGUAAUUAGCAGCAAAACAGGGCAUGAGAUGUGUUGGGUUUAUCUCCAACUAUUAUGGCCAUGGGGCUCUGCCAUUAUUUCUUAAGCAUGAAAUUGUGACUAUGAAAGGUUCAACAUUUUCUUUUGAUUUGUAUUGGUUGAUACGUGAAUUAGUUUUUGCCAAUUAAUCAUAUUUAAUAUUGGCUACUCUAAUUAUUUGGAAUUGAUAAAGAUCAUUUUCUCAUGAUUGAUUCAAAAGAUAUCAAUGGACUUGGCAGUUAUUUUGAUGGAAUAUCAAUUGCUAUAACUACUGUUAAUUCUAAUUAUUGAGACUUUUCACUCCCAACACUAAAAAAAAAAACUGAUAUUGCAAAUGACUGUUUGGUUGGGUAGUGGGAUUUUAAUGAGAUACCACAGAUUGUGUUGUAUAUAUAGACCAAGGAUCAUCACUCUAUUAUUCACUGAACAUUGAAAUCACAGUUCUAGGUAAAACUCUUCCUUACGGCGCUUGCUACCACCAUGGCUCCACUCAUCACUCCUGUUGCUGCCAUUGUUGCUGGAAAGAUCAACAUCAAGCUUCGAGUUCGUGUCGUUCAUGUUUGGACCGUGUCUGAGUUCAACAACCCAAAUGAGGAUAACUCUAUUCACAUGCUAUUGCUUGAUGACAAGGUUGGUUUUUUGAAAUUAUAUUAUGUGGUCUUAUAUUUUGAAAAUUAUAUUUGGCUCAAGUUGUCUUAUGUUUCGCCUUUGUUUAAAUUAAAAAAACAGCUUGGAAAGAUACAAGCAUCUGCUAAGAAACAUUUGGUGCCAAGGAUAAGGUCAAACGUAGAAGAGGGAUCUACAUACGACAUUGAAAAUGUUUUGGUGACUAAAAACGAUCCUAAGUAUCAGGUUACCCAACAUAGGUUCAAGCUAAACCUUAUAGACAACACGAAGUUCUUUAAAAUUGAUGCAGCUACCAUUCCUUUAAAUCAUUUCGAUUUUAUGCCUUUCAAUGAAAUAUUGGAGGCAGAGAGGGAGGAAAAGGUUGUCGGUGAGUGUCUAUACUUGGAGUAAUAUAUUGAGUAUAUAGAUAUUACAACUGACAGUAAAUGAUGUUAUUUUCAUUUGUUCUUGCAUAUUUUUUUUUACCAUAAACAUUUUACCGUAAAUCCAUUAUGCGCAGAUGUGAUUGGACAAGUCGUUGAGAGAGAUGAAUUGAAAGAGAGGGAUGUCAAUGGCCGUAGGAGUAAGAUAAUGGAUCUUACCUUACAAGAUUCUGAGUACGUGAUUUAAAAAUGACUCGAUGUUUUAUGUUAUCAAAUUUUAUUGAGUUAUAUUAACCAAGUGAUAUCUGUGUUUCAGAAGUAGGAGAGUUCAUUGCACUUUAUGGGCUAACUAUGCUGAGAGGAUGAAUUCAUUCCUGGCAGCUCAUGAUCCAUCAUCACCUGUCAUUGUUUUGAUCCAACAAUGCAAGCUAAAAAAAUACCAAGGGAUCAUGGGCGUUUCCAAUGCUUUUUUUGGAACUAAACUACUACUGGAGGGUGACUUGCCAGAAGCUAUUGAAUUCAAAUCUAAGUAAUAUAAUUACAAUUUGUCAUAUUUUUUUUUUCAUUCUUUAAAAUUAUUGCUGGACUUUAGUCUUCUAAUUGACUUCUGCCAUUGGUUGCUAACCAGAAUUGAUGGUGGAGAUGUGCAAGUGUCUCAAUCUAUAAGUCAGAAUACAACUUCAACAGUUGUCUCUUUGGUUGAUGAUAUGCUUCAGACUAAGAGAAUGACAAUUGAGGACUUAAUAGAGGCAACUGAGGUAUACUAUGUGACAUUGUAUGAAUUGAAGUGAGAUUUGUUAAGUUUUUGCAUUUUAUCGUUUUUUAUUGUUUGAGCAAUGCCAAGGGAUUGUUCUCGCUACAAUUUGUGGGAUCGAAUCAGAAUACAGUUGGUAUUACCAGGCAUGUACAAAGUGCGCAGGGAGAGUGAGAACUGUUGCAGGUCGUUUGUAUUGUGGAAAGUGUAACACUGGAAGGAACGCAGUGCCAAGGUAAUUAAAAUCACAAAAAAACCAAUUGUCUAUAAAUAUGAUUAUCAAUUCGCGCUCAAUUGUUUGUGAUGUUGUUUGUCAAUUAAUUUAUCAAAUGUUGCAUAUUCUGAAAUAGGUUCAAAUUGCAUGUUCAAGUCAUGGAUAACACUGGAUCAACAAGCUUUAUACUAUUUGACCGUAACGUUUCAAGUUAUGUGAACAGAACUGUACAAGACAUGAUUGAUGCUCAGGUAAGUUUGCUUAGUGUCUUGCAAACUUGCAUAAAACGGUUACAACCAUGGUUAUGAUAGAGUUCUCCAUUUAUGUGCAUUUUCUGUUUCAAAUGAGUUAUAUUAAUUACAUGUGUUAUGUCAAUCAGCCCAACAAUUCGUCUGAUUAUCCGUCAGAUCUUGACUCCUUUGUUGGCAAGCGAAUGUUGUUCAAAGUAGAGGUCAGUGAUGGUAAUCUACUUCAUAAUUGGCGCAAUUAUGCUGUCAAGAGAACAACUGCCGAAGAGGAUGUGAUCAAUCAAUUUGCUAUUUUCCAUGAUAUAAAUGUAUAUUAAUCAACAACAUCCCCCAUUGAUUAUUUGUGAGUUGAAUGGUUUCUUUCUUAUAGUUUUUGUCUGCACCUUCAGCUUUCUGAUAAUGAAGAUGUAGCAUAUGAGACGCUAGAUGAGGUGUGACAUAAAUUCUUUCCAUAAAGUUUAUUUGAUAUUCCAUGCGGCACGUGAUCUGAUUAAAUAUAAAUUUCCUUAUGUUAAUGUCAUUUUUUAUUACAGAAUCUAGAUAACGUUUGUGCUGGUUCAUCCAAUACCGUGGUUAAUCUUAUGGAUGCUAUGGAUUCUGUGGCUAAUAACAAUGACAAGGGAAAAGAAGUUGAUAAUACACCUUGCAGCAAAGUGUCUAGAAAGAAUUCUGCUGGAACAAUUUUGUUGGAUUCGACCCCGUCUGCUAAUGUUGGAGAUGUCUCUGUUACUAAGCCUGUCAAGCUCAAAUCUGUUGUGUCUGAGAAAAGGUCUGGGAAAAGGUCUGCUGGAACAGGUUUGUUGGAUUCGACCCCUUCUGUUGAUGCUGGAGAUUUCUCUGCUACGAAGCCUGUCAAGCUCAAAUCUGUUAAGAUUGAGCCAAAGAACUGAAAUUUAGAGGAUCAAUAAUAAGUCAUUGCUAUUUUAAAUUUUGUUGCUUUUUUUUAUGUAUGUUUAGGUUCAAAACUUUGGUUAUUAUUGAACAUGCAGCUCAAUGUUUGUUUUAAAUCAUGUUCAAUUGUGGUCCUUUUUUAGAAUUGGUGAAUGAAAUAAGUUGAUCCUAAUGUGCUCAGAGUUCCUAUCAGAAUUGUACUUUAAUUUCAUAUAUUAUUUUGAGAGUAACAAGUAACUAUAUAUUAGUAAAUAUUGAGAACCUGCACAACUAACUUAUAAUUAUUAGUAAGAUUGUAAGACAACUAUCGUCCCUUAUAAAACACAUGUCAACUUCAGGAAAUUGCGUGUGUUCUUAUGCUCAACCUAUGGUGAGAAUAAUAAAUACAAGAAUCCAUCUGAUUUAAAAAAUGUUCAUUAUAUAUUUUACAAAUUGUUCCGAAUGUUUAAUCUACAGAAGUUCAGCCAUGAUUUACUGAAGUAAACAAAUUAACGAAACAAUCUUUGGUUAUUUCCUUAAUCUUUGCUUAUUUCAUUAAGCUAUUGCAGACAAGAAAUUGAUAACAAGGUGUGUAGUAAUUUUACAUAAUGAGGAGUUAACUCAUCCACUAUUUAAAGAUUGAUUGCACACUUAAAAACACUCACACUUUUGCUAUCACAUUGUGCCUAUUCAUAUUUCCGUAGGAGCAUUAAAUGUGAGCAAAUAAAGAGAUUGUUGUUACAUAAAAUUGUGUAUAAAUGUUUCCUAUGUUUUGAAUUCUGCGUAAUCAAUUACCAUGGUUCAGUGCUCAUUAAUAAGUUUAGUUUGAUAUGAUAAAAUCAGACUUAGUUUAAAGCAGUCAUCACAUACAGUCAUGUCCCUUUCUUCAUGAAUUCAUAGAACAUAGGAAACUUUUAUUUAAAUCACCAAGUUGAACCAGACCAAGCAUGUCAUCAAGUAUGAAGCGUAAAGUUCUUGAAGGCAUCCGAGCAUCGACUGAUAUAAGCAAUGGUAAGCAUCUGGCGUGCUAACCUUUUUUGUCACUCUUUUAUUGUAGUUACGAUGAUGACCUUCAUAACCAGUUAUGUCUCAUAUUUCAGAUGAUGGUAGAGUUAAACGCCGCAACAAAUCUCCCGGUUCCUGUCUCACCAGGAUCUCACCUGUUGGCCACGGUAAAUAUGUUUUGCAGGAUCAUAUUAGCUCAUCUUUCAUGGAUGAGGAUGAUGACCCAUCAUCUUUUGUUGGCCGUGACAUUUAUAAACUAGAAUUAACAACGAAUGCGUCAGCUGCCAGAAUGUUUAUAUAAUUGAUUUAUAUUUAUUUAACAUUGCAGGUCAUCCCACAGACACUAAAAUGACUGCAUUUGGCUCUCAAACAAGCUGUAGAAUACAGGACAUACCAAUGCAUUGCAGUGAGAAUGGUGAAAGCGAAGAGGUCCCAUAUAAUCUUGAUGGUUAGUAUAUUUAGAAAUAUUCAAUGAGAUGAAUUGAAACCUUAUGUGCCUGGCUAAAUGUUUUUAUCCUUGAUAUGUGCAUUUAUUCUACAUAUCAGGUAAUCUAACUGACCUUGAGGGAGAAUACUCAGAGCAUGGUAUACUCGGCUCUCAAACAAGCUGUAGAAUACAAGACAUAACAAUGCAUUGUAAUGAGAAUGGUGAAAGCGACGAAGUUCCAGAUAAUUCUGAUAGUUAGUACAAUUAUCCCUAUAAUGAUCUCUUUUGUCGCUUAAUGUAUUCGUUAUGCACAGAUUAUUGUGCCUUAUCUCAUUAGUGUAUUUUUAUGGAACAGCAUUUCAAGACGCGGUAAUUGAAGUGGAAGAUGAAGAAGAUCUUGAGUUGAAGGGUAGUUAAUUGCCUCUAUUAUCAAUUUUAUGCAUGACUUAAUAAAUUCCUUAAUCUUAGUUAAGAACUAUUAUUAUUUAUAAUCAUAAUGCAGAAUAUCUGGACAUUGGUCAGCCAAGUAUAAAAUGUCCCAAUUGCAAGGCAUUGAUGUGGUAUGACGAAAGGGUUUGUAAAUCACGGCACACUUCAAAUCCUGAAUUUUCAAUGUGUUGUAUGCAAGGGAGGAUAGAAAUUGCACCAUUCAAGCGACCACCUAAAGCAUUAUAUGAUUUGUAUCACAAGAAAGACAGGAAAAGCAAAUUCUUUCUUGAAAACAUUCGAUCUUUCAACAGUAUGUUUUCAUUUACAUCUAUGGGUGGGAACAUAGACAAGACAAAUAAUAAUGGCAACGCUCCACCAAUAUAUGUCUUAAACGGAGAAAAUUACCAUCGAAUAGGGAGUUUACUCCCAACACCUGGUAACAGCCCCAAGUUUGCACAACUCUAUAUAUACGACACAGAUAACGAGUUGAAAAACCGGAUGGCUGCUGUUGGGUAAUACUUUUGUAUAGUAGCAAUUUUUUCAAUUUAUAGUAUGUCUCUCUAUUGUUCUCUGUAGUCAAGUAUUCACCAAUAACUUUGAGAUCUUAUUGUUAUUGUUUGUCUUCUUCUUAUUUAGGAUGGAGGAUGAUAGGGACUCGCUGAAGUCCGCAAUUGUGGAGGAAUUAAAGAACAUGUUGGACAGCAGCAAUUCGUUUGCCAAAUCAUAUAGACUAGCUCGAGAUAAAUUGCUGCAAAACAAUGCCCCUGAAAUUAAAUUGCGUAUUUUAGGGAAAAGAGGUUAUGAUGGGCGUAGAUACAACAUGCCGACUGCAUCCGAAGUUGCGGCAUUAGUUGUUGGUGAUUAUGAUUCAGCCGAUUUCGACAGAGAUAUUGUGGUCGAGGAACAAUCCGGUCUCCUAAAACGCAUAUCUGUGUUUGAAACAUCAUACUUGCCUUUGCAAUAUCCGUUGAUAUUUUCUAGGGGAGAAGAUGGCUUCCGAAGGGACAUAAAAUUCAGUGAUACUCAUACCAAGUCAGCUAUAAAACGACCAUUUGUUUCUAUGAAAGAGUGGUUUGCUUAUAAAAUACAGCAAAGAGAUCUGUCGUUUUCACACUUGGUUUUCUGUAGGCAGCUUUUCCAACAGUUUUUGGUUGAUGCAUACAGUAUGAUAGAGUCUUGGCGAUUGAAGUGGUAUAGAGAUCACCAAAAGGAAGUUAGGGCUGAUAUGUAUAAGGGUUUGUAUGAAGCAGUACUCAGGGGAGAAACAAGUCCAGCCACUGCAGGUAAAAGAAUUGUUCUCCCGUCAAGGUUUGUAGGAGGAGCACGCUACAUGAUUCAAAACUAUCAAGAUGCCAUGGCAAUUUGUGCAUGGGUGGGAUAUCCUGAUCUUUUCAUUACAUUUACGUGCAAUCACAAAUGGCCGGAGUUAGUGGUUUUUUUGAAAAAGCACGGGUUAAGGCCUGAAGAUAGACCAGAUUUGUCAGUCGGAUAUUCAAGAUAAAGCUAAACAUGUUGAUAAAGGAUAUUAAAAAAGGCAAACUUUUUGGGAAAGUUAGAGCAGGUAGUUAUUAUUCUAUUUUUUUUGGCAUCUUAUCGUUGUUAGUAGCUCUUUUUUAUUGUUGUAUUAUUAGUGUCUGAUUUUAGAUUGUUUUUCGUCAUUCAAAUAUAUGCAGUAAUAUAUACCAUUGAGUUUCAAAAGAGGGGUCUUCCACAUGCUCAUAUACUGGUCUUUCUACAACCAGAAUUCCGGUGUUCUCAUCCCAACAAGAUCGACGAAAUUAUAUGCGCAGAGAUACCAGAUAAAGACCGUGAGCCUCGACUUUAUAAUAUUGUGUCUUCUCUUAUGAUCCAUGGUCCAUGUGGACCACAAAUGAUGGUUCACCAUGUAUGCUCAACCGCAAAUGCACCAAAUACUUUCCCAAGAAGUUUGUGGAUCAAAUAGUAAUUGAUCCAGAGGGCUACCCAGUUUAUAGAAGAAGAGACAACGGUGUGUUUGUUAAGAAAGGUGAAGCAUUCGCUGAUAAUAGAUAUGUCGUGCCGUACAACCGACAUCUACUGCUGAAGUACAAUGCACAUAUCAACGUGGAAUGGUGUAAUCAAUCAAGGUCCAUUAAAUAUCUAUUCAAAUAUGUCAAUAAAGGACACGAUCGCGUUACUGCAACCUUUCAUAACGUUGAAGAUCAGACAUACGAUGAAAUCCAAAUGUACUAUGAUUGUAGGUAUCUUUCGGCAUGCGAAGCAGUUUGGAGAAUCUUUUCAUUUGAUAUUAACUACAGGGAACCCUCCGUUGAAUGAUUAAGCUUCCAUUUAGAAGAUGAGGAGCCUGUCACGUUUGAAGAUCAUGAAGACCUUGAAGAUGUCAUCCAAAAACCGCAUAUUCGUGAUACCAAAUUCGCGGCAUGGAUGGAGGCAAAUACAUUAUAUCCUCAAGCAAAAGAUCUUACUUAUUCAGAAUUCCCUCUAAAAUUUGUGUGGAAGGCAGCUGAUCACAGAUGGUCUCCAAGAAAACAAGGUGUAUCGAUCGGCAGGAUCCACUUUGUCCCCCUAGGUUCUGGUGAAAAAUUCUAUUUGAGAACCUUACUCAACUAUGUCAAGGGCCCUGCAUCGUACGAUGAGAUUAAAACCGUGGGAGGUGUAAAAUACAAAACCUUUAAAGAAGCUUGCUUCGCUUUGGGAUUGUUGGAGGAUGAUAAGGAGUUUAUAGAUGCAAUUAACCAAGCAUCUAUGUGGGGAACUGCCAGCUAUAUGCGUAGAUUGUUUGUUGCUUUACUGGUGACCAAUCAGUUCUCUAGACCUGAAGUUGUAUGGGAGAAGACUUGGCGGAAUUUAAGUGACGAUGUUUUAAGCACACAAAGACGGCUGCAUCGCGUUCAAGGUAAGAUAUAUUGACCUUUAAAAAAAUUUAUUAUAUCAUGUACUCUGUUUGUGUAUAAAAAGAGUUAAAUAAGGUUUGUGUGCUUAUCCAUCCGUUCAAGGUAAGAUCCUUUUAUUCAAUCCAGCUGCAUAUUUUUAGAAAUAAAGGGAUAUGAGGCAUUUGAUGAAGUAACAAGUGAUACAUCCAUGAAAUGUUUUUAAUUUUUAUUACACCUUUUUCCAUUUGCUAACAAAAUGUAAGAAUCUGAUCACACAGCCAUUGCGGUGUGAUUUCAAACUGUAAGGAUCUGAUUUUAAAUAUGUUGCAUUUACCAUGCAGAUUUGGUAUUAGAUGACCAUCAGUUGCAAAGUUAUGCUCUCGCGGAGGUCGAGAAAUUGUUACGAGGGCAUGGUCAAAGUAUGAAAGAUGACUAUCCAAUGAUGCCACAACCAGACGCUUCGAUGAUCAACCGUGUGCGCAAUAUGUUGAUGUAUGAUGAGUUGAAAUAUGACAAAAAUAUAUUAAAAAAGGAACACAAGUCAUUAAUGUUGACAAUGACACAGGAACAAAGGAGUGUAUAUGACAAAAUCAUUUCCAGAGUAGAUGCAAAUAAGCCUGGUUUAUUCUUUGUGUAUGGUUAUGGAGGAACUGGAAAAACUUAUAUAUGGAGAGCUUUAUCAUCUGCAUUGCGUUCAAGGGGAGAUAUUGUAUUGACCACGGCAUCAAGUGGAAUCGCGACGCUGCUCAUACCUGGGGGAAGGACUGCUCAUUCAAGGUUCAAUUUACCAAUUAUGGUUGACGAGUGCUCUACUUGCGGCAUUUUUCCAAAAACAAAUUUAGCCGAGCUUAUCAUCAACGCAAAGCUUAUCAUUUGGGAUGAAGCACCUAUGAUGCACAAGCAUUUGUUCGAAGUGCUUGAUAGAAGUCUAAGAGAUUUAAUGCGACAUCAUAACAACGGUAGAAUGGACAUUCCAUUCGGUGGAAAGGUGGUUGUACUUGGUGGUGAUUUCAGACAGAUUCUACAUGUUGUACCCAAAGCAAAUAGGCAAGAAGUUGUUAAUUCUAGCGUUAAUUCGUCGGCCAUAUGGCGCCAUUGUGAAGUGCUAACGUUGACAACAAACAUGAGGCUCUUGCAUGGUUGUUCAAGCGAGGAGCUUGAAGAAAGAAAACAAUUCAGCGACUGGAUUUUAGGAAUCGGUGAUGGGAGCAUUGGUGAAGUUAUUGACGAUGAUAUUAGGGUGCAAAUUCCAGAUGAUAUACUUAUUCAUAGCACAGGUAACCAUAUUGCUGCUAUUGUUGGUGCUAUAUAUCCAUCUCUGGCUAUGAAUAUGAAUGACCCUUCUUUUUUUCCAAGAAAGAGCCAUAUUGACACCCAAAAAUGUCACUGUUGAGGAAAUUAAUGGUUAUAUGUUGUCUUUGGUCCCUGGUGAAGAAAAGAUUUAUCUUAGUUGUGAUUCACCAUUGACUAAGCCAUCCAUGGCUAACAGGCCUGAUGAUAUUCACACACCGGAAUUCUUGAACACAAUUAACGCAUCUGGUAUUCCAAAUCACAAAAUAAAGUUGAAGGUAGGAGUCCCUGUUAUGUUAUUGCGAAACUUGGACAUUACUGCAGGCCUUUGCAACGGAACAAGGUUGCUAAUUACAAAGAUGGGUAGAUAUGUUCUUGAAGGAAAGGUAAUAACAGGGAGCAAUGUUGGAGAAAAGGUGUAUAUCCCCAGAUUAUCUCUUUCACCAUCUGACACAAGAAUUCCGUUUAAAUUCAAUAGAAGACAAUUUCCCAUCCGUGUAUGCUUUGCAAUGACUAUUAACAAAAGUCAAGGCCAAUCUCUCAAACAAGUUGGAGUAUAUCUCUCACAACCUGUAUUCUCUCAUGGUCAACUUUAUGUUGCUAUUUCACGUGUGACUUCUAGGAGUGGGCUGAAAAUACUUCUGAUAGACGAAGAUGGGGCUUGCAUCAAAAGUACUUCAAAUGUCGUUUACAAAGAAGUUUUUCGCAAUUUAUCAUGAAUUGUAUUUUAUUGUGUCCCAAUUGUAUUAACUCACUUAUAAACUUUAUGUUUCAAGGUUUGGUACUUGCUAUUAAAAUUUGCUUUUAUGAUUUUCACAUAUGCAAUUUGUAUGACCUGUGCGGCAGCACGGGUGCAAGGACUAGUGUGAUUUGAAUGAGGACUUAGGUACCUAAGGCUUUGUUUGCGAGUUUGGAGGGGAAGAAAAGGUUUUGAAAAAAAAGAAGGAGUAAGUGGAAGAAAUAGAGGACAUUGAGAAGGGAGGGCUUUGGGGGGUUAAUUUUUGUUCCUAAUACAUAAACCCUCCUCAUUCGGGGAAACUAAAAAGUUGUAUUGGAGGAGAGUUUUUUUUUUUUUUUUUUCUUUGGGGGUUGGAGGGUUUAUAUGAAUUUUUCAAAUUUAUUAUAUGUUGUUAUAAUAUUUUUAAUAUUCAUAAUCUAUGAAUCAAGCAUUGGUCUAUCAUUCUCUAAACAAAUACUCCUUCAAAAAAAUAUGAAAAUUUUCUUCAUUUUCCUCUAUAUUUCUUACCCCCGAAGUCCUCGCUUCCCCACCCCUCCAAACUCCCAAACAAAGCCUAAAGGGUGAAUGUACAGAUGUUAAAGUUACAACUCACGGAUACAUGUAUUCACACAAUCAACAUAUACAAAUAUUUUACACAAUCAUCAAAUGUCGCUUUAUUUAACUAGUUUGAAAAGAACGGUGCUAUAUAUAGCGAAAAAGUUAUGACGAAAAAAUCACGAACAGUGUAGCAGCCUAUUAACAAGGGCCCACUAACCAUACAUGGGCAGUUUGUAUUGAAUAAAAAAAUUACUGUUCAGUAAGCUACGUAUGCUCGUGAACUAUUCACUAUACAUUAUGACGCGAGAACCAGCAUUUACCGUUUAAAAGUACAAGCAUGACUUAUUAUUAUACUCAUUAAUCCACCACAUCACCUUUAUGAAUGAAAUCUAUCGAGGGUAUGGGUCACUAAUUGAAGCAUGGUUUAUUGAUUCUCCCUCAGAUUGCAUGUCUCGAACUCGAAGGCUUCUAGUUCUACCUCCCACAAUAGAUGCAGGCUCCAAAGGUACGGAGAGAAAGAUAGAAUAACUACUAAGCAUGACUACAACGGUUGCCAUGAUUGGUCUUUCAACCAAAUUUUCUUGAACACAUAGUAAAGCAAUGUGAAUGCAUCUCAUUAUUUCAUUUCGUGAACCAUUGCUUAAUGAUGGAUCUAUUAUAUUUGUGAUUGUACCCUCUCUCCAGUUUCUCCAUGCCUGCACAAUUGCAUAUACCUUUUAGAUCACUAAUUACAAUUCAAUCUUAACAUGCUUAAUUUCAUGUACUCAUCUUUUAAUGCAUACUUAUUUAUUGGCAUGGAAGAAAUAAUAAUGAGAGAACAGGACUUACAAAGCUAAGUAAAUCCUCCUGACUCUGCCCAUGAAGAACGCAACAAGCUUUCUGUCCACUUAUAAUCUCCAAAACUAGUACACCAAAACUAAAAACAUCUGAUUUUACCGAAAAUUCUCCAAACAUUGCAUACUCAGGAGCCAUAUAUCCACUGCAUAUAAAAGUGAAAAAGUUUAAUUAGUCAUAACUAAUGAGUCUUUUCGAGUCACAAAUAUUCAACUUGAUUUAGUUGUUUAGGCCAAUGGUACCUACUAACAGUUUUGCUUUUUUUUUUGUUCAUAGAAACAAUGUUGAUUUUUCACCUAUAACCAUGAUGCAUGCCAUCUUUAAAAGAGCUUAAAUAUCAUAACAACUAUUUUAAGAGUCAACAUCAAUGAAUUACUUACAAUACUAGAUAAAUUAAUGAUGAAAAAAGUUAUACUUAACAAGAUAUGGAAAUCAUAUUCUAAUACUUACUAUGUUCCAACGAUUUUAUUUGUAUUAACUUGAGUUUGAUCGACAAGAAGUAGUCUGGCAAUACCAAAAUCAGAUAUUUUAGGAUUCAACUUUUCGUCCAAGAGAAUGUUACUUGCUUUAAGAUCACGAUGUAUAAUACGAAGUUGAGAAUCCUGAUGAAGGUAAAGAAGACCUCUUGCAAUUCCUCCAAUGAUUUUGUAGCGCCUUUCCCAAUCCAAUCGUUCUUUGUUUAUUGGAUCUAUACAUACACAAAAUUAGAUAUUUUAGUUGUCAUAUGUAAGAGAGCAACAAUCUAAUAAAGCAUAUAUUAUGGCCUACCAAAUAUAAAAUAAUCAAGACUUUUAUUUGGAACAUAUUCAUAGACAAGCAAUCUUUCUCUUCCUUCUAGACAAAAACCAAGUAGUCUAACUAAAUUUCGAUGUUGAAGCUUAGCGACUAAAAGCACUUCAUUCUUAAAUUCAAUAUCCCCUUGUCCUGAAUUUGUUGACAACCUUUUGACCGCAAUCACUUGUCCACCGGCGAGUAUACCCUGCAAAUAUAUUUCAUUUCUGUAUAAUAAGUAUUUUGAUGAAGAAAGUGAUGUUCAUGUAAAUCAUCAGUAUUAUUUUUUUUUUAUUAAAUCUAAAUCAAUAGUAUUAUUUAUACCUGAUAAACAACUCCAAAUCCGCCAUGUCCAAGUUUAUUAUCUUCAGAAAAGUUACUUGUAGCAACUCGUAAUGUCUCGAAGUUGAAUAGCAAUGACGCAGUGAUUUCAAUAUCAUUAUUUUCAUCUUCUUUUAUAUCUUCAAACAUUGUACAAGGCAUGUUAGGAAAAUAUGCUAAUAUCUAAUUUUUAAAAUCAAACAUUGUACAAAGGCUUCCAUUUUUCUUUGCCUUCUGUCUAUUUUUGAAUUACUGCAUCUAGGUUUUCUCUUUUUGAAUGCAAAACUUUGUUAACCAUCACAACUUAUUAUUAUGAAGUAGAUUUUAUGUCGUCAAAAUUAUCCUGCAUUCAUACCACGACUUAGACAGUAACGAAUUUAGACAAAGUCACGUACCUUGGAGAUUUAUCUUUGCCUUCCUUUUCCUUAAGCAUAUGCAAAUGAAAAUUAGCAGGCCAGCAGCAGCAACAACAACAACAGUCGGCACAACUGUGGCGAUAGUAUGUGAUGAUUUGCUUUUUUCUGUAAAAUGAUACAUUUCAAAGAUUAAGAAUAGUAAAAUAUUACCAACAAACAAGUCUACAACGACUAACUAAUGAAUAAAAUGCCAAGAUAAGAACAAGUAAAACAAGGUAACCUAACUGUAAUCACCAUGUAGUAAUUAAGUAUGAUUAGGUAAUGACAAUUAGUAAUUAUUACCUUCUUCUGGUGGGGAGGUUUCAUCUUGGUCUAUUACUGUCGUAGGACCAUAGAAGGAAUAUAUUUCAUAUCUAAUAUUACAACUUAGUUUGAGAACUCUACCACCAAUCUUGUUAUAAAAAAAACUUGGAGUUUCUGAAAUAGCACGCUCUAAACAAUCAUUGCAAUCUUGUCCUGACAAGUCAGGUGUACACUGCACAAGACCAUAUAUGGUUUCAAAAUUCAAAGUUGCAUUAGCGGUAGCAAACUUACGACGAGAAUCACCUGAUGCAGCUAUUUCAUUGAGUUUCCUCAUCAAGUUCCCAAGAACUUGAUUAAAUUGAGCCACAUCGGUUACAUUUCUAUUGUUCCACUUAUAAUAUGAAAAUGAAGUAUCCAUAAUGCCAAAUAUUGAUCGGUUUGAGUAACGCAACAUGCAGUUAUCAUACCAACUAAUUGCUUCUUUUUGGGUUGGACAAAGUUUUGUGAGAAGAACUCUUGAAUCGUUGAGACAACUGCGGCAAAGGUCGGGUUUAACAUCUCCUCUGCAGAGUCCAAUGGCGUUUACUUUAUCAGUGUUUUGGCCAUAAGAGAAAUUGUAGAAACCGUAGUUGAUUUGAGUGUUGGAAGUGAGAUUGGAUAAAAGGGUGUUGAGGUUGUUUUGAUAGGUGCUAUUGGCUGUGUAGUUGCCAUUAUUGUUUAUACAAUAGUUGCGCAAAAAAUUUGGUUGGCCUUGGGCUUGAGAUACGAUAAUGAUAAUAAAAAGGAGAAAAGAGUAAAGGGAAAAUAAUAGCUUGCUAGAUACAAUUGUCAUUGUGAUAUAUUGAUCUCUGUCUUGGAACAAGAACAGGUAAUUAAGAAAUGGAGGAUUGAAGCUUUGGAUAUGAAAGUCAAUCAGUUAAUUUGAAUUGGGUGAAAUGAUUUGUUGAGUAAAAUAUGUGGUUUGAGACAAAGCUU
rnacentral:lncRNA from 1 species